GCCGGUGUGGCUCAGAGCUUAGAGCAUCAGCCCUUGCACCAAAGGGUCAUGGGUUCGAUUCCCAGUCAAGGGCA
rnacentral:tRNA from 1 species